UACAGUCCAUUUCGCUUAUCUUGCGCGAGACUGAGGUGAAACUGGCCGGCUCGCGACCCUAAGAGAGCGUGCCCCGCGUGGCGCCACAUUCUGAGGAGGAAUUUAACCGUGACUCGGGCGGUGAGCGCAGCAAAAAGACUGUCAGUGGGGUUCCCAAACGAUUUGUUGCCCCCAGCGACACUGUCUGAACGAUUAACAGGGUUAUAUCUCUCUCUACACCUCUGGAGCGAGUUGCAUUCCCAUGGGAGCUGCAGAAGAGGACUCUGAGCAGAGGGCUUAGAAGGGGAUGCAGGCAGGACGGACCCUGUCUCCAUGAGGGAGAAUGCAGACUCAUAAUGUAGCUGCCUCUUAUUGUUCUGCUUCCUUCUUCCUCAGUCCUACUUCUCGCACUUGCGGGAGACCCACAUGCCAGACCCAGUAAGAUGCGAAUGGGGGCUACUCAAGGGAGUGGGGAGGACCCCCUCUUUGAUCUUGGAGCCCGCCUCCUCCACUCCCGCCUUGGUCUUCUCUGCAGCAUCCACGACGCCUUCCUUGACCUUGGAGAAUCCAUCGGAGGAAUCAAGAGUCCCCAGAGGGGAGCCACACAACAAAAAGAGAACAUGCAGCCUACCCACUGUACCACCAUAGUGUAUCAGUAUGCUGGCUCUACCAUCCUUGUUUAUCUUCAUCCCCCUGCUGGUGAUAGGCAGUAAUGCAUGUUGUUACCAGGCUCCAUAUUAUAUUCCUACUGAACUAAACAUAGUCCCACCUGGCCCCACCUUACUCAUUCCUCUCGGCCUGGCAUAUGCCAACACGACUUGGUCAUGUCCUGGAAUGAUGACUGUAAUAAAAGCCUAACAUGUGCUUAAGUAGUUAGGUUCAGGGUGUGAUUCAGAGUUGGGAAGCUCACCUUGCCUCUCCAGUCUCCCUUUGCCUGCUGAGAAGCAGAUACAUCCCCCAUGUCAGAUGUUUUAUCAGCUUACGAUGACCUGCUGUGCUACUCUG